AUGGCCUAGGCCCCUCCCCUCCUCACAGUGUUCACCUACAGCUCAGGUUCCCUGGUCCAGGCGGCACUGACUCAGCAGCCACCCGAGAUGUCAGCCAAGGUGGGAGACACUGUCAGGAUCACCUGCUCUGGGGGUAGCAGCAACUAUUAUGGCUGGUACCAGCAGAAGGUCCCUGGCACUGCCCCUGUCACUGUGAUCUAUCGGGAUACCAACAGACCCUCGGGCAUCCCUUCGCGAUUCUCCGGAUCUGCCUCCGGCUCCACGGCCACGUUAACCAUCACUGGGGUCCAAGCCGAGGACGAGGCUGUCUAUUUCUGUGGUGGCCAGGACAGCAGCAGCUAUGCUGGUGAAGUUACAAAGACAGAGAAAAUAAAAGCAUAG